GUAUGCAAUAUCAUAGCUUUAUAACUCCGUUAAGGGUAUUUCUUUUUACAAGUUUGAAUAUUUAUGUGCAAUAAAGCGUUCUCCUUUUAUCUUUGUUACUCUCCUUGAAAGUGUUGUGUUGAAGUACAGACUCUGAAGCAUUCUAUUUAUUUUCUUUAUUACCAUAAGGUGUGAAUAUUUAAUAUUUUAGUCAUACACACACACACACACACGUUUAUUAUAUGAUAAAGCCGCCUUUUCCUUCAGUAAUUGAUUUAUUUAUAACUGAUCUAGUUUGUACUAGUUUGGCCAUCUAUUUGUGACCUUUUUUGUUCCAUUCUUCUUGACAGACUUGUUUCUGGUUGAGUGUAUAUCACUCCUGCAUACAUCUCCGCUAUGCCAGAUGUAACUGAACCAUCCCAGUUUUAGGUUAUCUACUCCUAUUUUAAUCAGUUUAUCUUUCUUCUUUAUCUUUUUAGUUUGCUUUGGGGCUAAAGAAAGCUACACAACAAGAAUUCUCAACUUCAAAUAUCAAGAAGAUCCGCGAUAAAAGAAUAAGAGUAUUGAAAUUUAAGAGAACGCAUUGACUUUUUCAACAUAGCAUAAAAUGGACCAACACAGACAUUUAUUUAGUAUGAUGUCCGUAGAAACAAAACCACUGUCAAUUCACCACCUCUUUAACAUAUUCAAAGGAUGACUGUGUUUUCUAUUGAAACAUAAAAUGUUAUUUAUUUGCAGUGCUUAAAUUGAUUUUGUUUAAAUAACAUUUUUUAUAUAAAUGUUUAACUUACAUAUGUUUAUCCUAUCCUGAAAUGUCAUUUAUCUUGAAUGUAUGGUCUGUUUAAAACAGGAAACAAAACAAAUAUAAUUGUUUGUUCAUUCUUACAGUUGUGCAAUAUCUUUGGGUGUAUCUGAGGUCUAAACAUUUAGCCUUUUAGCAUAACCGUUUAAGAAAAUUUUUAAAAUUGAAUCCUUAGAUGUAAGAUUGAAAUACACGUGAAUGAACACCAUCCAUCAGAAUGGAAUCUUAUACUAAAGCAUCAUUAAGGUAUAUUGUAGAAUAAGGGCUCAAAACUUCCACUUGCCAUCAGCCAUGGGUUAAUGAAAAUUAAGACCUGGUGAGUGUGACAUGAACUUCCCAGGUUUGCAGAGGCAAGUAACUUUUAACCCUUUAAGGACGACAGGCGUACUAUGCCUUCCUUGAAGGGGUGGACUUAAACGCCGGAGGGCAGUAUAGUACGCCCAGUCGUCCUCCCUCCGUCCUGGUGCCCUACACUUACAUGGUCCGGCGAUCACGGUUGGGGGGGUUUCCCUAGAGCCCAGCAGUCCCCCUGCAGGAACUCCGGCUCUCCAGGGCCAUGUGAUCACCAUGAUCACAUGGCCGCAAUAGGAGUGUGUGGAGCUGCCUGCAGGGGCACUGUCUGAGCUGUCAGGCAGUCCCCCAGUCUCCUGAAAUGUAAAAAACUAAUUAAAUAUAUUAUAUAUAUAUAUUAAUAAUUGAAGCAUUUUAUAAUAUAUUAUACAUAUACAAUGUAUAUAUAUAUGAUUUCAUUAUAAGUGUACUUUGUGAUCUACUGAGUGUAAUAUUAGGGUGAGACUAUUCCUUUAUAAUAAUCCUACCAAAAUCACCAUCAAAUGUCCCACUGUAGUUUCAAUUUCGAUUGUUUGUCAAGUUCAGUUCCACGUGGUCACAGUAAUCAAAAAUCUAGUUUUCUUCAGGUAAAGGAUGAGUAUACGGAACUGCGACACAUCAUUUGUCUUGAAAAUAUUAAGAAUUGUCCUUUUACUGCAAUUUCAUUUUUUUCACUUUAGUAAAAUAUGGUCAGAAACAAAAGGAAAUACAAUGGGAAUUGCCAUGCACCAUCAUAUGCAAAUUUACAUCUUGAUUCAUGAGAAAAUAAUACUGUAUUCUCCUUUAACCCCUUCCCGACAUGAUCUGUAUGGGGUACGUAAGUCCCUAAUAUUGCUGCACUCACUGUAAUAAUGAGCUGCCUGACCUACAUUACAAGAUGUGCACCACUUUUUAGACUGUCUCGCUCUUUAGGCUGCCCAGUAACCCAAACAAGGGGCUGUCACAAUGGUCCUGUGCAAUGAUUGAUAGUUGAUCCCUUGUUCCCGCAGUGCAUCCUGGGACUGGCUGUAAAUGUUCUACUUAUUGUGAGGCUGUCUAGCAGUAGUCCCUGAUUGGAUCCCAGGCUGAUUAAUCACCCUGGGAGCCAAUCACAGAAAUGAACUGCCUUAUCAAUUGCACCUUAAACCUGGCAAAGAAAUAUAAGUGAGGUAUUGCUGUACUUGGCUGUAGCUGAAUACAAAUUAGGGAUCUUUGCUUUAGUGGGACAUGGUGUGGGGAAUUAAAGGAACACUAUAGGGUCAGGAAUAUAUAAAUGUGUAAUCCUGACCCUAUAGUGUUAAAACCACUACUUAGGUCCAUUGCCACCCUUAAAUAAGUUAAACAUUUACCUUUAAUCCAGCAACACGUGGGUCUGCGGGUGCCUCCACUGAUGUGCCUUGGCUGACAUAAUCAGAAUUGACCAUUUCAGCCAAUCCAAUAAGAAAGCAUUGGUUUGGCUUAGCUAUUCAAUUCUUAUGAUCUCAGUUAGGGUGCGGAACCAAAUGCCCUGCUGGCCAAUCAUCAUCUCCUCAUAGAGAUGCAUUUUGCAGGGCUGCACCUCUUCUUUGGAACUCCCUUCCCUUUUCUAUAAGAAUUUCACUCAGUCUCCACUCAUUCAAAAAAAUCAUUGAAAACUCACUUCUUCAAGAAAACAUAUCAAUUAAACUGUUAGCAGGUUUUUAUCCCCCACUCUCCAUGACUCCUCUCCUGCAACUGUCAAAAAUUACCUACUCAGCCCUCAGUAAAUACUUUUCUAACAACCUACUUCGUACCCCUACUUUUACCCUUUGUGCCAUUAUACCCCACUCCCUCUAGCAUGUAAGUUCAUUAAGCUGCACUUCUCUGUUCCUGUACGUUCAGUUGUCUGGUUACAAUUACAUGUCUGUUAGUCCACUCAUUGUACAGCGCUACAGAAUCGGAUGGCCCUAUAUAAAAAUUUAAUCAAUGCAUCGCUAGGUGGAAAGUUUAGCAUCUCAAUGCAGAGUGUGGAUACCCUAAACGCGUGCAACACAGACCUAUGAAGCACUUUUAGUGGCCGUCUGAGUGACUGCCACUGGAGGUGUCCCUAGACAGCAAUGUAAACACUAACUUUUCUCUGAAGCUGUAGUUGUUGUUGUGAUUAUAGUGUCCCUUUAACCAUGAAAAUGACACGAUUUAGAUAAUUAACGGGACACUAUAGUCACCAGAACAACUACAGCUUUAGAGAAAAGGCAGUGUUUACAUUGCCCCUAGGGACACCUCCAAGUGACCACUCCUUAGAUGGCUAGUGGAGGGGCUUCCUGGCUCUGUGCUGCAUAGUAAGCAGCCGUGCCGUUCAGCGUCCCCAUGCUCUGCAUGGAGACGCUGACUUUUCCUCAUAGAGAUGCAUUGAUUCACCGCAUCUCUAUAAAGAGUUCCUAAUUGGCCAAAAUGGCAUUUGGCCAAUCCAAUGCUUUCCCUGUGGGCAUUUUGAUGUCACAAAGGGGGCGGAGCCAGUGCCAGCAGACCCGCGUGGCCCUGGAAAUAAGAUGAGUUUUAAACUUUUAUAGGGGGGCUAAUCAGGGGGCAAGCCACCUAAAUGGUGGGUUUAGCACUAUAGGGUCAGGAAUACAUGUUUGUGUUCCUGACUCUAUAGUGCUCCUUUAAAUACACACAGUAUAUAUGCACCAUAUUUAUCCCAUAGCUAAAUUAUUGGAAACCCUAGACAUAUGAGGCAUAUUCACAAUUGGGACUAAGUGAAUCUAUUUUGAGGUACUUUAAUUGCAUAGACAUAUGUUUUUGGGGGGAUGUGAAAAAAAACUACUUUUCUUACUCUUUAAUAUUUUGUUCAUAACUAGUAUUGUAUUAAGUAAACAUAUAUGGUAUUGAAAAAUGUGUACAUUAUGUACACUUACAGGGAGUGUGUUAAAUUACGGUGGAAAAAAAAUUAUGAUGGAUUUGAUUUCAAGUCGCUUUUAAAUCACUAGUCCAUAAUACUCUAUUUAAAUUGUGAUUUUUAAAUGUGAAGACUCAUUCUUGCUGGUUGUUAUCUUAAGUUAAUCUUAGCUUGCUUCAUUUGCAGCCAGAUUUCAAAAUGUCAUUGACUUUUCAGAUUAGUUCAACGGUUAUUUUUUUAUUACUAUAUAAUUUUACUACUCUAUAAUAAAGAAACCUUUUUGGCAUAUAAUAUUUUAUUGCCAUUUUUCUUUCUUUCCACCUGACUACUUAUAUUGCCAAUUUUAGAAGAAGCAUAAAGAAUCCAUAGGUGGGGAUUAUACCACCCGGGCGCUUAUAUUGAGCAGUACAAACCUGCUCAAAAGAAUGUGAGUAAUAUAUAUAUUUUAUACUCUUUUAAACUUUUCACCAUAAUACAG
rnacentral:lncRNA from 1 species